AAAUCUCUUAAAAUCAAUCCUAAAAUACUAAUAUUUAAACUUAAACUAAAAUCCAUCUUUUGUCCUUUAACAAAUCAAAUGAAAGCAAAUAUAAUUAAACUAUCCUACAUAAGACCUAUCCAAGACUACACACCAUUACACACACCUAGAUUUGUUUGGUUAGGACAAGACUUCGAGCUCUAGGUUAAGCCGAUAUUUUUUUUUGUUAUUCAACGUUUACUACAUGUACAUGUCCUAUAAAUGCAAUUCUUAAAUUUCUGUUAGUUACAUUUUUUUUAUUUAUCUGCAUUUCUUUUCUGAACGGCAUCUACGCUUAUACCAUAUAUUCCUCUUUUAUCUUAUCUUGCGAGGUACAUCGGGUCUUGCACGGUCAAACAUCAAGUGACAUCAUUUGCUUAAAAGCUUUUAGGUGGCAGUGCCACAGGUCUUGCACAGUUGAGGAUCAGUGGACAAUUUGCUUGCUUGGAAUUAUUAAGUGGCAGCGCCACAGUCAGUAUAUUUUUUAUCCAACUUCAAACAAUGCAUCGAAGAACAUUCGUACUUCUCGGAGCUCAAAAGGUGUUGAAAGUGAUGUAGAUCUAAGUGGUUUAAGUGAUGCUUCUUGAUUAGUACCAAGAGAGAUUGGCUCACCAUCAGCUGAUUGUGGUACACAAUGUUCAUCUGUUGAUGAUACUACAGAAAAUCUCGGUUCUACAGUUUCAAGUUCCUUUAUGUCAUCUUUAGAUGCAUGUGAUAGCAGCACUUCAACAUCAAGUUGUAAUUCUUCUUUCUAUCAUUUGAGAAAAAGAUGCCACUUCAUUUGUUGCACAAACUUUACAUAGAAGUUGCAACAAGUCGUGCAUCCGUGUUACUCUCAUCUCCCGUUGUUUACUCAACUAGUACAUUCCAGUUUCUGCAGAACUAUGAAGAUCUAAAUGUUUUCAUAUUGGCUGGUGAAGCAUUCUGUGGAUUACAGGCAACUGAGUUCAGGAACAGAUUAAAAAGUAUUUCUGAAAACUAUGUUGCAGCAUUUCACAGAAAAAUGUUUAUGUACUUAAAAUGGUAUUGGAGAGGGAGAAUUGGAUGAAGUUAUCUCCAGAGACUAUGCAACUAAUUAGUUUGGCUGGCCUCAUUGGUGAUGGCGCUCCCUUGAUUGUUCCUUCUUCAAGCAAUUCUUUAGCUGCCUGUACAAUUUAGUCCAAGAAAAGUUCUGAUGUGGUUUACAAUGGGAAGCAGAAUGAUGGGUUUUGUUAUUGGCUUAGUAUUGAAAACCCGUUUUCUUCAAAACUAUCAAAUGGUUCCAAACAACUAUCAAGUUUUCAGGCAUUAGUUAAUGGGUCUUCGGUAUCUCAGUGGAUACCAAAAUUGUUGUUUCAUUAUACCUUGAUGAUUGUAGAAUAUCAAAGCUUACUCACCCAAAAACCAGAUCUGCAUGUUGGAACGAUGAUGAGGUUUCAGCACAAACAGGUUCAUCCAUUUGUUUAUUGAGAUUAAUGGACAAAUAUGCGAGCCUAAUGCAGAAUUAGAAAUUGUUAAUGUUGACUUUUUCAAGGGCAUCUGCCAGCUCUUUGGAAUAUUCUAUUAUUUUAUUUUUGAGGUACUUGGCGAGCGGGACUCUUAUCAAAGUGGAAAGAUGUGUUGCAGCUGAGAUGAUAUCCUUUGUUGCUCAGAUCUUGCAUAGAUCAAAAGCUUACUUUCAGUCAAGGUUGUUUCAGCAGAACGCUGCAUUGAUUGAGGAUUUUUUUGGGAAUCUGGUGCAGAGCCUCCCGCGUGAAGCUUCUUUCAGACGCUUGUAUAGUUUUUCAUAGUUUUUGGUUCAUGCAAUAUUUUGUAGCCCAAGUGGCUAUUGUACAUGUUCUUUUGGACGCUCCUUUUGUAUUGUAAAUAUGAAAUGUCUUAAUGUGAAUUAUAGUAUUUUGAUGUAUCUAUUUUCUUUAAUGCAAUUAUCAUUCUGGAUGUUUGUAUGAUAUGAGCGAGAAAUGUAGAAAGAAAAAAAGAUCGAAUAAGAAGAAGAAUGUCAGAUGAAUCCUUUCAUUAUAGAUGUCUGGGACGUCACAAUUGGUAUCAGAAUGAGUGUAGUGAAAGGAUUUGCUUAUAUCCAGAAUUAUAGUGAUGAUUACAUUAUUUGAUUUGUUUUGCUUUACGUGUUUGAUUUUUGUUAUUAUACCUACGAAUUUUAUUUGAAUGAAUUUGUAUUGAUCAGGCCAAUGGAUCAGAAAGGAAAGAAAGUUGAAUCAGCUACUGACUUUUCCAUGACAUCUGGAAAUAUGAAAAAGUUUGCUGACAUGGUCGCUUAAAUGGUGAGCGAUAAAUUAGCAAAAUAUUCUGGACGUAGUGUUAAGAAAAGUGGUGAAAAGAAAAGUGGUGAAAGUAGCAGAACAAAGACUAUUAAUGUUUGUGUAUGUUGUGGGAAGAGACAUGUGGGACAGUGUUAACGGAGAACAGGACUGCUUUCAAUAUGGUGCCUAUGGACAUAAAAUGGUAUAAUGUCCAGGACUUAGACAAGGACCUGUUUAGAUUGAAAACAUACAGUUGAAAAAUGUGAAAGAUGUUCCUCCAAUGCUUGAAAAUAUGACUAGUAUGAGUUUAUUUUCUAUAACUUAUUGUAUUCGACGAUAUUUUUCAUUGAUUUCGAUAUGAUUUGUACGAUUUUUUUGAUUUGAUUCGUGUUUUGUUUGAACUAAUUUGUUUGUCGAUUUUGCAUUUGAGCUCUUAAUGAAAAUGUCGAGGACGACAUUGUUCAGAAGGUGGGAGGUUGUUAAAGCCCAUUUUUCCUUCCAGGAUCGUCCGGUACGAAGUGGGAUUGUCCGGGACGAUCAGUACAGAAUCUGUGGAUAGAGAGGUUCGUCCAAGGACAAAAUUUGGUUUGUCGGGAUAAAAUUUAUCCAGAGGGCAAGCCGUCCAGAGACGAAAACUGUUCACAUCUAAACGAAUUUUGUAUAUAGGGCAAAUCGUCCCGGGAUGAUUUGGGAUCGUCCGAGACGAUCUGCAUGGAUAUAUAUUGGAUUGAGAUAUUUUGGAAUCUUUUGGAAGAGAGAAAAAGUAGGAGAGAGAAAGAGGAGGAAAAGAGAAGGAAAAAGGCUUGAUUUUGAAGGCCACGGAGCGCUUUUUGUCCGUGCCGCAGUUAGAAGAAUUUUUUAUCUAGCAGUAAGGACUUCGAAUCCUAUUUCUGAUUUCGAAGAUUUCGAGUUUUGGUGUUUUUAUGCUUAGUUUUGUGUUUUCAUUACAAAAAAAAUGAGCCUAUCUUUGUAUUGACGAAAUUUUUACUACGUAACUUUUGGUAUGUUAGAGAAAUGAUGAUUUUGCACGAUUUGAGUAUUUUCUGAAAAGUUUUUACUGGAUAUUUUGAGUUAUGUUAGAUUUUGAAACGUUAUUUUACACGAUUUCUUAUAAUUGUGCAUUUUGACUUUGUUUGGAAUUUCUGUCGACUGUACAAUAUUUUAAGGAUUCUUUUCUUUUGAGUUAAAUCAUGUUUAUUGAUUGCAAUACAUUAAUGAGAUGUAUAUGAAUGUGGAUAUAUUGAAUAUACUACUAUUACUGAAAGACAAGUAAAGAUUGGUUGAACUGUUGGUUGAAAAUUGAUAGACCUGACAGGAUGGUGGGCUGACGGGCUUUCCUUUAAAAAGGGUUUGACGAUAUCCUCUAUUGAUCAUUGAUACGAAUAUUGUGAAUCAUAAGGAGAUUAUUCUGUCGACAGACAAAAGUGACGACUCUUAUUGAGCCAACAGAUACAACGAUACUUCGAUAUUUCAAGAUUGAAAAAUGUCGUAAUAGCCAUAUAUUUUACUUGUUGAAUAAAGGCUGUUUGAACUGUUGGUUGAAGAUUGACCUGUCAGGAUGGUGGGCCGACAGGCUUUUCUUUAAAAAGGGUUUGGUGUUAUCCUUUAUUCAUCACGUGAUAUAAUGAAGUCAUAAGAAGUUUAUGCCGACGGGCAAGAGUGACGACUCUAUUAUAGUCAACGGAUUACUAACAUACUAACCUUGAAAAUCGUCUUACUAGCCAGUGAUUGUACUUGUCGAGUAAGAUUACUGUACUGGAAUGCAUGUGUAAAGUACUGUCCUUAUGAUCUCAUUACGGAUUUAUUGAUUUAUCAAUAUUGACUGAUUAAUUGAUAUGGAAUUGAUUUAUGGAUUUUGAAUGGAUUUAAUGAUAUUGAAUUGUUUUAUUGAUACUGAAUGGCUUUACUGUACGGAUUUAUGAGUUUCCUGUUAUUGCACGACUUCAUUGAUAUUUCAUACAGUACAUGUUACCGAAUAUAGAUACUGAAAUGGAUAUUGAUAUUGCAUCGAUUCAUUGAUUCAUUGAUCUUAUGGAUAUCGAUAUUAUUGAUUCAUUGAUACUAUAGACAUUGAUACCAUUGAUUCAUUGAUAUACCGAUACCGAUACCGAUACUGAUACUGAUACUAUUGAUCCACUGAUAUAUUGAUUCAUUGUAUUGUUCUUAUAGCACAUGAUACAUCGAAUACUGACCGAUACGUGUGAUACAUGUGAUACACUGACCACGUGAUAUAGAAUAUGAUUUUUAUUGUAUUGAUUGAUUUUAAUGAUUAUUAUUGAUUUAUUGAUUUGAUUUCAACCGUCCUUACAAUGUAUUGAAUUGAUCGUUUUAUAUGAUUUCAUAUCGACUGAUAUUAUUGACAGAAAUUGAUUUCUUUAUUUAAUGACCUGAUUAUUUUAUUGCUGUGAGUAAUGCGAUAUUAAUUUGACGGAUAUUUUUGAUACAAUAUUUUCUUUACUAAAUUGUGAUUUAUCUUUACUGUAUGGAUUUACUUUUACUACAUGAUUUCACUAUUAUUGCAUAAUCGUUCAUGUCGUUACAGGAUUGUUGCUGAUAUUGAUACAUACGCUGCUACUACUGAUUCACUGUACUGACAUUAUAUACGUGAUAUAGAUUACUGGAUUGCAUAUGAUUUAUUGAGCAAGUGAUAUUGAAUAACUGGAAUUGCAAGUAUAUGUUUUGAUACAAUUCUACUACAUUGCUUUGACUGAUGUUAUAGAUAAGACGACUAAUAUAGAGAUUUGACUCACGUACUGGUUCAUUGAGCUUUAUGCGAUUUUCUACUGUUCACUGAUAGAUCAUUGAGCUUUAUGCGAUUUUCUACUGUUCACUAAUUCUAUCAUUGAUGAUUUUGGAUUCUAUUGUUUAUGCAUUGAUUUUUGUUUUUGUACUGAUUUCCGUAUUUGCAUCGAUUUAAUGAUCAUGUGUAAGGGACUGAUAUUGAUUUGAUUGAUUUAUGCAUAAUGCUUCUAUACCAUGCUUUGAUUUCAGUUGUAGGUUUUUGGUGACCUGCUGAGCUUUUUGAAGCUCAUUAUAUAUGGUUAAUGAUUUCAAGUGCAGAGCCCCCCGCGUGAAGCUUCUUUCAGACGCUUGUAUAGUUUUUCGUAGUUUUUGGUUCAUGCAAUAUUUUGUAGCCUGAGUGGCUAUUGUACAUGUUCUUUUGGACGCUCAUUUUGUAUUGUAAAUAUGAAAUGCCUUAAUGUGAAUUAUAGUAUUUUGAUGUAUCUGUUUUCUUUAAUGCAAUUAUCAUUCUGGAUGUUUGUAUGAUCUGAGCGAGAAAUGUAGAAAGAUAAAAAAAGAUCGAAUAAGAAGAAGAAUGUCUAACGAAUCCUUUCAUUAUAGAUGUAUGGGACGUCACACUCUCUCUCUCUCUCUCUCCCCCCUUCUUCUUAUUAUUCUUCUUCUACUCUCUCUCACUCUCUCUCUCUCUCUUGCUCUCUCAUCUCUCUUUGUCUCUAUCUCUCUCUCUCC